UGAGAAGCUUCGACUAAGGUUCGAUUCGAGCGAAAGCGAGAAAGCGUUGCCGCAGGCAACGACCCGAAGGGCGAAGCGCGCAGCGCUGAGUAAUCCUUCCCCCACCACCA
rnacentral:sRNA from 1 species